AGCAGGCUUCCUAGGUGUGAUCACAGAGACACCGAGAACAAUAAAGGCUUUCUUCCGCGUGGCGGACCCAGCUGGAGGUCCGCACGUCUCAGCAUUCAGGAUUGAAAAUCAAUUGUAGAUAUUCAGAGAAUGACCCCACUCGGAAAUCAGAAGACUCCUUUACAUUCAGCUCUCGCCCUGAUCGCAUAUGAUGCCAACCCCAGGCCCCCGGAGAAAGUGACAUAGACCACCUUGAGUCACAGUCCAAGAGACAGCUAAUUUGCCAGCUGCAGGGGAUGUGGUUUUUGACACGAUGGCGGAGUGGUGAUCAUGCCACGGGAUGGUACGCUGAGAUCGACGCAGGUCCGUGUAAGAUUGGUUCACCCUUCCCCAACCUCAGAGAUGAAGUCUGCAGGGAUGCGCGGGCUAGCACACGGGGCUAAUUCACAAUUAAUCAUGACAAAUCUUUUAACCACACUCAAUCUUUCAUGGAUCUUUUGGGGGUGGGAGUGAGGGGCUCAAAUGGAGUCCUCCCACAUACUUGUGUUACUAUUGAUAAGCGCUUUGAGUUUGAUCCACAGUCGGUUAGCCUGUGCUUAUGGAAAUAGUGAGCUUUGUUUUCCAUAACACUCAGCAUCUCCAUUAACAACAUUAACAACGUUCAAGUCGUUUUUAAACACGGGUGUCGGUUGUGGUGAAACGGAACCAUCAUCUGUCUCCUGGACGUAGAGAAACCUGCUGGAGAGCCUCUGUGAAUUUUUUCUCCUGAAUUCACUCACAAAACCAAAAUCACUUUCAAACUUAAAAAGACUCAGGGAGUGCAGAACAACUCUGAAAUGCCAGAACGGGUGAUGAAAUUCAGUGAGGAUGCUGAGGAAGUCUAUGGAAAUGCUCAAUGAGGAGACGAGGUUAAAUAUACCACACAGCGACUGGAAAACUAAGCUAAAUGCUUCAAGUGCUUAUGGAAGGCAAACUAGAAAUCUAUUAUAAGAAGUCCUUUUGCUUUAAUAUCAGAAGGUAGUAGAGGUCCUCUAGGAAGCCGUCCUAACAAUUCAAUUCACCUUUGUGUAAUAAAUAAAUAAAUACAAGACCUAGACACAAUGCCAGAAUCGCAGUGAUUAGCCACAUGCUAGCUUGCAUUGCAAACCAAGCCACGA